AGAGUUUGAUCAUGGCUCAGGAUGAACGCUAGCUACAGGCUUAACACAUGCAAGUCGAGGGGCAGCAUGUUGGUUGCUUGCAACCAACGAUGGCGACCGGCGCACGGGUGAGUAACGCGUAUCCAACCUACCCUUGUCCAUCGGAUAACCCGUCGAAAGGCGGCCUAACACGAUAUGCGGUUCACAGCAGGCAUCUAACGUGAACGAAAUGUAAAGGAGAAGGAUGGGGAUGCGUCUGAUUAGCUUGUUGGCGGGGUAACGGCCACAAGGCUACGAUCAGUAGGGGUUCUGAGAGGAAGGUCCCCCACAUUGGAACUGAGACACGGUCCAAAACUCCUACGGGAGCCGA
rnacentral:rRNA from 1 species